rnacentral:rRNA from 1 species
CCAGUCUGCAUGGAGCCGACCUUGAAAUACCACCCUUUAAUGUUUGAUGUUCUAACGUGGACCCGUAAUCCGGGUUGCGGACAGUGUCUGGUGGGUAGUUUGACUGGGGCGGUCUCCUCCUAAAGAGUAACGGAGGAGCACGAAGGUUGGCUAAUCCUGGUCGGACAUCAGGAGGUUAGUGCAAUGGCAUAAGCCAGCUUGACUGCGAGCGUGACGGCGCGAGCAGGUGCGAAAGCAGGUCAUAGUGAUCCGGUGGUUCUGAAUGGAAGGGCCAUCGCUCAACGGAUAAAAGGUACUCCGGGGAUAACAGGCUGAUACCGCCCAAGAGUUCAUAUCGACGGCGGUGUUUGGCACCUCGAUGUCGGCUCAUCACAUCCUGGGGCUGAAGUAGGUCCCAAGGGUAUGGCUGUUCGCCAUUUAAAGUGGUACGCGAGCUGGGUUUAGAACGUCGUGAGACAGUUCGGUCCCUAUCUGCCGUGGGCGCUGGAGAACUGAGGGGGGCUGCUCCUAGUACGAGAGGACCGGAGUGGACGCAUCACUGGUGUUCGGGUUGUCAUGCCAAUGGCACUGCCCGGUAGCUAAAUGCGGAAGAGAUAAGUGCUGAAAGCAUCUAAGCACGAAACUUGCCCCGAGAUGAGUUCUCCCUGACUCCUUGAGAGUCCUGAAGGAACGUUGAAGACGACGACGUUGAUAGGCCGGGUGUGUAAGCGC